GGAUGAAUGACCGAGUGGUUGAAGGUGCUAGUCUUGAAAACUAGAGUAUUUUAUGAUACCGGGGGUUCGAAUCCCUCUUCAUCCU
rfam:Nannochloropsis gaditana mitochondrion, complete genome.